UGGGGAAUAUUGCACAAUGGGCGCAAGCCUGAUGCAGCCAUGCCGCGUGUAUGAAGAAGGCCUUCGGGUUGUAAAGUACUUUCAGCGGGGAGGAAGGGAGUAAAGUUAAUACCUUUGCUCAUUGACGUUACCCGCAGAAGAAGCACCGGCUAACUCCGUGCCAGCAGCCGCGGUAAUACGGAGGGUGCAAGCGUUAAUCGGAAUUACUGGGCGUAAAGCGCACGCAGGCGGUUUGUUAAGUCAGAUGUGAAAUCCCCAGGCUAAACCUGGGAACUGCAUCUGAUACUGGCAAGCUUGAGUCUCGUAGAGGGGGGUAGAAUUCCAGGUGUAGCGGUGAAAUGCGUAGAGAUCUGGAGGAAUACCGGUGGCGAAGGCGGCCCCCUGGACGAAGACUGACGCUCAGGUGCGAAAGCGUGGGGAGCAAACAGG
rnacentral:rRNA from 1 species